rnacentral:lncRNA from 1 species
AGAAAGAAAGGAUGAAACGAAACAGAGAGCAGGGGAAAGAAAGAAGGAAGGAAAAAAGAAAGAAGGAAAAAGGGAAAAAUUGGGAUUUCAAGGCUUAAAAGUUAAAUAGGUAAGUCAAUUUAGCCAUUUUUACUUAAUUUUGAUGUUUUGGAAGCUUUGAGACAAGGUUUUGAUGAAAUUAAGUGAAUAUUUUGAAAGUUAUUAGAUUUUUAAAUAUCGUUCAUGUUGAAUAAAAAGAUGAAUUAGAGGUUAGAUUGAUAGGAAUUCAAGUUAGAAAUGAAAUAAGGAUUGAAUUGUAAAGUAAUUCAUAAGUUUUAUGUUGUAGGGACUAAAUUGAUGAAAUUUCGAAAUUAGGAAAAUAUGCUGGAAAUUUAAUAGUUAAGUAUGAGUUUAGUUAAAAAUUGAGUAGAAAUAAAGUAUAAAUUAAGAUAGAAAAGUAAGUGAAUUUAGUUAGGAUUAAAUUGAAAUUAAAAGUAGAAAAUCAACAUUUUGCACUAAGACUAUUUUGGACAGCAGCAGUAGUCUAAGUUUGAAAAAUCACCAAAAAUUGUAUAAAUUGAAUUAGAGAAUUAAUAAAAUAUAUAAUUAAAUCUUAUUGAGUCUAGUUUCUUAUAGAAGAAACGGUGUAAACAAUUGAGUUGUAAAUUAUGAGAUAUAAUAAAUUUUGUGAGACAAGGUCAGAAUGAAUUCGGGUUCCUCUGUUCUGACUUUGGAAAAUCACCAAAAAUUAGAGAAAAAUAAUUAGAGGCUUAAAGUUAUAUGUUUAGAAUCCCUAAUGAGUCUAUUUUCAGUAUAAAUCAACGGGAAUAUUAUCCGAGUUCUUUACUGUGAGAUAAUUAAUUCUUAGUGAAGAAUGUUCGAAACUGUCAGACAGCAGAAUAGGGGUGAAUUUAAAGAAUAAACUGUACUUAAUGGCUAAACUAAAAAUUCUGAAAAUUUUAUGGUAAGAAGAUUUGUGAGUCUAGUUUUAGGAAAAAUUAGCGAAUCUUAAUUUAGAAUUCUGUAACUCAAGAUAUAAAUUAGUAAUGUAUUAAUGAUUAUGAAUUGUAUUAAUUACGUAGUCAAUGUGGUGCCGAAAAUCUCGGCUAAGAAAGGACAAGAUAAAGUCAACAGGAGUUAGCUCAAAAACUACGUUUGUAUUUUUAUAAUCUGAACCUAGUUAUUAAUUGUUAUAAUUUUUUUAUUAAUGCAAUUAAUAAAUGUUGAAGUGAGAAUUAUUGUGUUUAUAAUGGAAAUGGAUUAAUUUAGUGUGUGAUAAAUUUAUAUUGAAUUGAUUUAUGAAUAUAUAUAAAUGUUUGAAUUGAAAUGAAUAUUGAUGUGAAAAUUGAAUAAUAAAUAUUUGUUAUAUUGGAAAAUAUAUGUAGUUGGAAGUGUGAUAAAAUUGAUAGAAAAUUUUGAUUAUUAUGGAAUUGAAUAUUUAUUAGUGAAAAGUGAAUGGAAUUAUAUUGAAUUGAAAAUAUAUAGUUAAUUAAUUAAAAUAUAAAUUAAUUGAAAACUGAAAAAUGAACUAAAUACCCUAUUAACUAGUCAGACUAGUCGGAUAUAAUUGGCAUGCCAUAGGAUAUGGAAGAGUACGGGUUUUGCCGGCUUACUGAUUAGGAACUUAUGUGCUGACUACUGUUACUGUUACCGUUACUGUUACCGAUUCAGCACUUUGUGUGUCAGAUAUUAUUACUGUUACCGUUACUGUUACUGUUUUGGAUUUGUUCCGAUGAGGUACUCUGUGUACCGUACUGCUACUGUUGCUGUUACUGUUCCGGCUUCGACCGAUGAGGCACUAUGUGCCGUACUGGUGUGUUGGUUGGAUACGUGUAUCCAUCUAGGUCCGAGUCAUGUUAAUAGGGGUAAAUAAAGGAACUGGAAAGAUCGACUGUUACUAAAUAAUUUAAUUGUUACUGUAUAUCUGAUUUUUACUGAAUAAUUGGCUGUUACUGGAUAACCGAUCAGUUGAUUGAUACUGAACAACUGAUUAUUAUUGAAUAAUUGAUUGUUACCGAAUAACUGACUGUUACUGAAUAAAUAAUUGUUCUGAUUGUUAAUGAACAUUACUGAUUGAUUAAUUCUAUUGAAUUUAAUAAAUGAUUUGAAAUUUAAAGUAAACCAAAACAAUGGUUGGAAAGUGAAUGUUUGAAUACUCAUCGAGAUUGAAUAGUUCAGUAUAUAUAAAUUAAUAAGUUUUAUAAUUGUUUAAGUGUUCGGAUUAUAGAAAUACCACUGAGUGUAUACUCAGCGUAUGGCUUGUUUCCGUGCGCAGGUUAAGGCUAGACUGUUGAAUCAGCAUCCCAGGCCGAUCCCGAAUUCAAUGAGGUAAAGUAUGUUGAGUAUUGAUAAUGGCAUGUACCUAGGAUGUUUAAUGAGAGUUAUUUAGGUUGUAAAAGUAUUGAUGAAAUAAGUAAAUUAUGGUUGGCAACGGUAUAUAGUAUGAAUUUUGAAAUUUAUUAAAAAUUCAUAGUGAUUCUAAAUUAGUUCCAAAUUGAAUUUACUGUUCAUAUUGGAUCGCGAGGGCCCAUUAAUGGGACGACAUCUUAAAACUAGGGUGAGUGUGAAUAUUUAUUUUAAUUAAUAACCGGAAUUAGGCUGUACUGACUGGUAAUGUCUUGUCACCCUGUUCUGGCGACGGUAUAGGGUUAUGGGACGUUACAAUAUUUUUCCAAAAAUAAUUUAAUUCUAACAAUAGAACAUAUAUAUAUUACCACUCACCAAUUACCAUUCAUUUUAAUCAAAAUUAUAUAGAAUAAAUUUUAUACGAACUUACCUAAAUUGAAUUGUAAUAAUUGUAGGAAUACAGGGGCUAUUCUGCUAUUUUUCCUUUUUCACAAAUAUCUACAAGAUCUUGAUCUAAAAUAUAAAAUUACUCAUUCAUUAGCAUAUAUUUCAGUUCCAAUUCAUUUUACAAUUUAUACCAUUUACAAUUUCAAAUUUACACAAUUACCCCAACUUUUACAACUUUUGCAAUUUAGUCCCUUAACUAGUUAAUCUAUCAAAUCAACUAAUUUUUCUCAAUUAAUAAUUUAUACAAAUAUUCUAGGCUAUCAUACAACCCUUAAUACCAAACCUUAACAUUUUAACCUUUUCACAAUUUGAUCCUAAAAUCAAUACUUAACAAAAUCACUUUAUAUAGUCAUCAUACAACAAAAUUAAAGCUUUAAAUCCACUUGAUAUAAAUUAAUAAUUUCUUUCAAUAUAUUAAUUUAGACAAUAAAACAAUUCUUUUCAUGCAAUUUGGUCAUUUUUGACAUUUUUAACAAAAUUUCCCUAAAAUUUUACUUUUAAUCAAUUUAGUCCAUAAGCCUAAAACAUGCAAAUUAACCAUUUUUAAUGUAAACUUAUGCUAGCUGAAUAUUCAUGGCAUCAAUACAGCCCAUUUUUAUGCUUUUCUAUCACUACUAAACUUAAAAAUAAGAUAAAACCUUAACAUUCAUACCUUAUUCUCUUGAAACCAAACUUUAACUUAACUUUCUGUCUCCUCCGGCUUCUAUUUCUUGAAUCUAACUUGAUAUUCUAGCUCCCCAUAGUCUCCUUAUUAUCUUUCUCUCUUGAUGGCUAUAGAAAUUAUUUUGAUUUCUAAGUGAAAAUGGUGAAUUUUUGGUAAAAUGACCAAAUUGUAAAGAAAAGAAAAUUUUCUUUCUUUCUUCUUCUUCUCACGUUGAGAUCAUGGAAAGAUGAAGAGAAUUCAUCAUCUUUCUUUCCUUAUAUACUAAAUAAAUAAUAAUAAAAUAUAAUUCAAAGUCAAAUCAAAAUAUUAAUAAACUAAUAUUUAUUUAUUUAUUUAAUCUAAACUAUUACCAACAUCAUCAUUACUCUUCAAAAUUAUCUUCCUUACUAAUGAUCAUUUUGCUCCUUAUGAUUCUUCAAAAUUCCUCCAUUGACUUAUCAUUCAUUUUAGUAAAAUUGUGAUUUAACCCCUCAUACUUUUUCCAUUUAUUCAAUUUGGUCCUAAUUCAUCCAUUUUCCUUAGUUUAAAGAUUAUUCCACCCUUAAAAUAUUUGCACUAUUGGUCCUUUAACUUUUGAUAUUUACAUUUUAACCCCUCAAAUUUUGAGUAUUUACUUUUAAGCCACAAAAUUUUUCUCACUUUUGCGAUUUAGUCCUUUCUUGAAUUAAUACAUCAGAAUAUACUUCCGAAAUAAAUUUUGUUGACAUAACUCAAAAUUCCCCUUUUUUUCACUUUAUUUCUUAUUUUAUUAUAUCAAUGACAAUAUUUCGCUUUCUUACUGUAGCAAUUUUCGGGGUAUUACAAGCUAAAUUUAUAUCGGCAGAUGAGAUGAAGCCUAUCCCAAUAAUUAAGAGAUUUACAAGAUUUACAUAAUCAAAUCAAAUCUAAUCUUAUCAGAUAUGCCUCAAUCUUAUAAGAUUAGUUUCCCUAUUUACCAAGGUAGCCUAAUUUUCCAUAUAUGCUUCAUUGGGCCACCUAGGCUUCAAAUAGAUAGGCUUCUCCAUCAGUUCUUUGAAUCGGGUUAGUUUUUGUUAGUCAAAUAAUCUUCAUCUAACCAAUAGACCUCAAGGGAUGCAUUUUAUACAAUGGUCAUGGGCUUUGAACUGCGACUUGUGACACAAACUUGUUGAAAGAACAUCUUUUCUAAGUUACCCUUUCCUUCCAUUCUUAUGUGCUAAUUUGAUGAAUGAAACUCUUACAAAGUUGUUGUAUAAUGUAAGCUAAACGAUAAGAAAUUCGCUUUAUUAUAUUAAAAGUAAUAAGUUUUACACUAUUUUUUAAUCAUUAAUCAAAAUAAAUAUUUGGAAAUGAAAUUAAUCAAAAGCGAAAAAGCUUGAAUAAGAAAAUUGUGGUUCAAUUCAAUUUUGUUAAAUCAAUCUCCUCUUGGCAGCCUAUCUUAUUUUGUAACACUUUGGAACUUAACUACCCUAUAAUAUAUUGUCAGGAAGUUUAAGGAAUGAUUUAUAGUUUCAUACUCUAAAUUAACUAGACUUCAACCUUUAAUCAUAGAUGCCCUAACAAUUAAAAAUAUGUUCUUUAAAAUUUGUAGAGAAUAAAGCCUUUACUUAAUAGUAAAAUUGAGGUCGCAUGUUUGAGUUACAAUCAUGUAAAUUAUAUCUGAAUUAAUUUGAGUUGAGCUAUUUAUUGAAUCUAGUACUUAUGAUUAUUUAUUUUGAUAAUAAUUGCAUAUGUAUUUGUUUAAUUACUUUUUAGAAUGUCUAUUUCUAGUCAUAGACCCAAAUCCUUAAAUUAGAGAAAAACACGUUUAAAUACGCUUGAACCAAUUUUGUUCUUAUUGUUGUAAAAGUUAUGAUACCAAUUGGACUAAGUCUCAAGUCAUUGUAUUUUUUAGUUAUAUUAUCUUUUCUUGUCAUAUUUAUGUAUGUUAAAAGUUCCAUAUAUUUUACGAAUAAAAAAGUAAGUGUCAUAUAUGCACGGACGGAUUUAGGGGUUGGUGGGUUGGUAGGGGCGUUGGCCCUCCUGAAAAGAAAAUUUUCUUUUUUUAACUUUUUUAUAAUUUAUAAAAUACUAAAAAAGAAAUGAUAAAGUUGCACUUUACCCCCAAAAUGAUAAUUUUUUAUUUAAUCUUUUAAAAAAUAUAAAGAUAUAAACUAUUAAAAUGAUAAAAUUAUACUUUUGCUAUCAUAAAAAUAUACAACUUAAUCUAGUAAAAAAAGUUUGACUUCGUUCUAUAUUUAUAAUUAUUAUGUAAUUAUGAUAUAUUUGUAAAGUUAUACUCUCAAGACUGCAUUGAUGUAAUUUUGUGCUUUUUCAAAAAUAAAAACAUUUUAGUGUGUCAAUUAAUUAAAUAUGAAAUAUUUAUUUUUACCUUCUUCUUAUCUUUAAAUAAGAACAUAAAAGGAUCUUGAGCACACUUGAACUUACGUCCUUUUGCAUUAGUAAUAAUGUAAACGCCAACCAAGCUAAAACUCAAUUGACAUCUAACUAUAUUAUUAUUAAGUCUUGAGUUAGUGUUACAAGUUAAUCGGACUCAACUAAUUAGAAAAAAGUCUACAAAUCAAUCUUUUAAAAAAAUAACAAAUAUUACUAUGAAGUGUUUUUCAUGGUUGUUUAAAUCAAAUUGGACUUGCCAGUGAGGCUGGUUGGAUUGAGAACCGAUUGAAAUACUGGCUUAGGAAAAGGCAUAAGAUUGAUUAACUUGAAAAUUGGUACGGAACAUUUGAACUAAUUUUUAUUUAUUUAUUUUGAUAAUUUUUAAUGAUUUAUUUAAUCAAAUGGACGUACCAGUUGAAUUAGUAGGACUGAUCAGUUCAACCACUAAUUUAAUUAUCUAAACUUUGAUUUUUUUCAAUUUUAUUAAAAUAUAAUUUUUAAAUUCAUAAUAAAUCUAAAAAAAGAUUUAAGACACCAAAUCCCAAAGCUUUAAACUAAAAUUUGAUUGUUUUUACAUAAUUCUUUUGGGUAAGUGACAUAAACUAUAAAAAUGAUUUGGUUUUGUAUCCCCAGAAGACAUUGCAAAUUUAAGAGUUAGGACCCAAAAGAGCUGAACAAAAUAUGAACUGAAAAAGCGAUUAAUUGGCUAUAUCAGUGGCAGACUUCUCUAACUUAUAUUAAGAAAUAUUUUAAAUGUUAAUUAAGGAUAAACAACAGUACAACAAUUAUUGUACCAAAUAUAAUUCAUGAGAAGGCGAGUUGAUCUUUGCUCAAACACUCAAAAUUCUAAUAUACGCAAUCAGCUUAGCCGCCGAAGAUCAAAUUGCAAUCCCAAUAAGAAAUAUACAAACUAAGAGAAGCAUAACAAGACAAGCAAUUAAUGCAAUAUCAUCUUCUUCGUUUUGCAAUUAUAACCAAAUACAACUACUCUUAAUGAAAUGAUAUUCCAUAAAUUUAUUUCCAACUUCAACAAAUACAAAUUCUACAUUUAUUUUUUCAUAGUGCAAUUAAAAAGAAAAAUCAUUUUGCAGGUUUCAACAUCAUCUGAGCUGACCAACUCCACUUCAUCUAAUAAUUAACGCAUUAUAUAGGAUAAGAAGAUUAUUAAUAUUAAAGAAAAUACUAUAGAUAAAUAGAUAGAUACCUUAAAAAUCCAAUUUCUCCACAAAGAGACAAAAUAUAUAGUUGAAUUCCUUGCCAACUCAUAGUCUACACAUUUUUUUGUUUUGUAAGAACAUAGAACUAGGACCUAUAUAGCAAACAAAAGAGAAAAACUUGCAUUAAUCCAUCCUUAUCCUAUCGAGAAAGAAAAAGGACCAAACAAUUAUCAUCAAACAUCCCACGUGGUUGGUUCAUGGACAUGGGGCAUGUCAUUUGUCAUGACCUUCUAAAUAAUAAUGGCAAAUAAGGAAAGUGCAUCAAAGUUUUUCACUGACAUGAGAGAGCCCACCUUGGAACUAUGAAACUACAGUUACAAAUGUUAGCAUAUCUGAUUUACAUUUGUAUAAAACAAAAGCACCAUUUAUUGAGUCAAGAUAUAACUAGGAUAUCUGAUGAUGAUAUGAUGACUAGAUUUCCCACCGUUUACAUCACAGGGAAAUUUGAUCUCUUUUCGGCUUUGGGUGAGAAUCUGACAGGUAAUAAGAUAAUGAUAUCCCAGGGAUGUAAAAGUUGAUAUGAUAACUAAUACAGGUCCCAUAUGCUUCUCAUAGCUAUAAAAC